rnacentral:rRNA from 1 species
GAUGAACGCUGACAGAAUGCUUAACACAUGCAAGUCAUUGGCGAAGCUGCGCUUGCGCAGUCUAGCCAAGGCGGCCGGGUGAGUAACGCGUAAGGAACUUGCCCUGCAGACAGGGAUAACAGACGGAAACGACUGAUAACACCUGCACUUUCAGGCUCGCGCUAUCUGGCCUUUUGGAAGGAUACGGCGCAGGAGGGCCUUUCGUCCUCUUAGCUAGUUGGUGGGGUUAAGGCCCACCAAGGCGAUGAUAGGUAGCCGGCCUGAGAGGGUGAACGGCCACGAGGGGACUGGGAUACGGCCCUUACUCCUACGGGAGGCAGCAGUGGAGAAUAUUGGACAAUGGGGGCAACCCUGAUCCAGCAAUUCUGUGUGCACGAAGAAGGUUUUCGGAUGGUAAAGUGCUUUCAGCAGGGAAGAAGAAAGUGACGGUACCUGCAGAAGAAGCGACGGCUAAAUACGUG